CAGCUGCAAAGUCUCACCGGGCUUUUGAUCCGAGAAUACUAUUGAUGAAAAAUAAAGUGCUUCAACAAGAACAGAGUGACUACAGUCCCUGACAAGUGUGAGAUUCACCAUCUGCAGUUUGAUACUAGAAAGUCGCUGGCUGACUCGCCGCCCCUGUUCUCAAUAAGAAUGGCCGGAAGCGAAACAGUAGAAGGCGGCUGCUGUGCCUGGAAGAGAAUUCGAAUAGCAGCCAGACCUGAAAUCUGCUUGGAGUCAACAGGAACCACAAUUGGAACUUCUCUAACUCUCCAGAGUGAGCAUUGCUUCAGCAGGAAACACAGCCUGAAGGAGAUGGCUACAUUAAGGAGUCCUGUACACCGAUACCUGUGCUGCAGGCGAUUAUGAACCAUAUCAUGGAAUUGCCACCUGACAACCCGAAGGAUAUCAAGGUAAUGGAGCAACUUGCACCUCUGAAUUCCCACACACAAACAAACCUUUCUGCUGGUGGCUCAAUUUCAAAUGCUGUCAUUGAAUUCUGCUACCUGGGAAUCCCACUGUCAAUAAUGCAAGA